UCAAAAUGUUGAUUUGUGAAUGCAGGCACAUUCUUAACAAAAACCUGAUCUUGUAUAUUAUUUGAACAGUCUAGAUUGGCAUGCGUGUGUAUGCCAUGUGUGCAUUGAAUUGAUUUGUUUACAUGCUCACCGAGAGUUGUGCGGAUGUUACCUUUUACCAUCCAAAGAUGGCCAGUGAUAGUCUAACGGUGUCUUGAAAUUUGAUUUCCGAGCGUCUAUUUUGAAUUUGGCCGCCCUUUGCUGUUGCUGCCUCUUGGAUGCUUGCUUCUGAGGUGGGAGUAACCAAUGUAUAUUUUCUUUUAUUUGCACAUAAAUGGUGAGCCUGUGGCAUGACUUGUCAUGAAAGUGUAUUAUUCUGUUUCUGCAUUUGGUAGGAAAAAAAAAAAAAACA